rnacentral:rRNA from 1 species
AACGAACGCUGGCGGCGUGCCUAACACAUGCAAGUCGAACGAGAAAGGGGCUUCGGCUCCGAGUAAAGUGGCGCACGGGUGAGUAACACGUGGGUAACCUGCCUCUAAGAUUGGGAUAACUCGUCGAAAGAUGAGCUAAUACCGAAUGAGACCACAGUUCCUGCGGGAAAAGAGGUCAAAGGUAGCCUCUGCUUGCAAGCUAUCACUUAGAGAUGGGCCUGCGCACCAUUAGCUAGUUGGUAGGGUAACGGCCUACCAAGGCAAAGAUGGUUGGCUGGUCUGAGAGGAUGAGCAGCCACACUGGAGCUGAGACACGGUCCAGACUCCUACGGGAGGCAGCAGGGGGGAAUAUUGCGCAAUGGGCGAAAGCCUGACGCAGCAACGCCGCGUGAGUGAUGAAGGCCUUCGGGUCGUAAAGCUCUGUCGGGAGGAACGAAUGCUCCUGAGGUUAACAGCCUCGGGAGGUGACGGUACCUUCAAAGGAAGCACCGGCUAACUCUGUGCCAGCCGCCGCCGUAACAC